GGGGGCCCGCAAGCGGUGGAGCAUGUGGUUUAAUUCGACGCAACGCGAAGAACCUUACCUGGGCUCGAAAUGGAGUGGACCGGAGUGGAAGCAGUCCUUCCCCGCAAGGGGCUGCUCUAUAGGUGCUGCAUGGCUGUCGUCAGCUCGUGUCGUGAGAUGUUGGGUUAAGUCCCGCAACGAGCGCAACCCUUAUUACCAGUUGCCACCAUUUAGUUGGGCACUCUGGUGAGACCGCCUCGGAUAACGGGGAGGAAGGCGGGGAUGACGUCGAGUCCUCAUGGCCUUUAUGUCCAGGGCUACACACGUGCUACAAUGGCCGGUACAAACCGUCGCAAACCCGUGAGGGGGAGCUAAUCGGAAAAAGCCGGCCUCAGUUCGGAUUGGAGUCUGCAACUCGGCUCCAUGAAGCUGGAAUCGCUAGUAAUCGCGGAUCAAAACACCGCGGUGAAUACGUUCCCGGGCCUUGUACACACC
rnacentral:rRNA from 1 species